CUCAGCAUCUGAGAUCUCUGCAAAGCCAGGAGAUUACAAAUAGCCCUGGCAGUUUCUACAAAAGUCUACUCUGUCACUGGGCACAGCGAGGAAAUCCACACAUCUGGCCCAGGGAAAGGAAAUGGAAAAUACAAAUGAAAGAGAAGCCAAAGUCAUGGGAGAUGAGAACAGCUUUCCUCUAGCUGAGUGAAUGCAGACCAAAAUCACCCUAAAGUCCUGAGAAGGUGAGUUUAAGAAGAACCUAAGAGAGAAAUCUUCAUUCCUGAAUUUUGCUUCAGACAAACAGCUUCUAAGAACUGGUGUGGCCUGAUGAACAGAUGACCCACAGACCAACCCCUCUGGAAAGAUGGCACUCUGAUAAUUUGGGUGAAGAGUAUUCACCAAAGACAAGAGAAGCUGGGGUAACGUUGCAGAACCUCCCAACAGAAGAAUGUGUGACACUGAAACUGUAAUCAGCUGCUGAUCUGGGCAUUAAAUCUCUGAAUUUUUUCUUGUUGGAGCCUUUCUGAAGAGCAGGAAGGGUUGAGAAAAUGAAAGAAAAAUAACAUCCCCUUCCCCAAAAGCAUUCACAAUGGAUCUUUGGGAGGAAAUGAGCUUGUGAGCAUGCUUCCCUUAACGCCAAGAGGAGAGGAAGUGCACUUCCAUCCCAGCAGGUACUCCUUCUGCACAUGGAAACCCAAGGAGCCUCACAGCAGGGAAAUCGGGUGGCCUCUGUCCACGCUCCCACUGCUGAUCUAUUCAUUAUGAUCUGAAUUUAGCCUCUUCGCAAUGGAAGAAAGACAGUCUGUAAGGGGCCGAGGCUGGAAACCUUAUGAUGUGCUCCCAUUUUGCAUGUUCAUCACAAGCUAAAAUGAAAAAAGAGUUUCUUUCCUCAGUGACUUUGAAAAGAAUAGAGUGGUGAUUAACAGCAAUAUUUUUUUUAAUGAAACGCAACCCGUCAUCUCUGUCAUCUUCUGGCCAUCCUCGCUUGUACGCGCCUCCCUGACAAGAGGAAUAAUAAUGGUCAUACAUCACUGCUCUGCACGUCCAAUCAUCUAAAUCUUCCCUCGCUGCAGCCUCUGAGACUCAAUUACUUUAUUGACAUGCAAUCUUCAUAAGGGGAGAAAUAUUGUGCAUGUAAGGUCACUUGGUUAUGAAGACAUAUUAUCAUAUUAUCUGCAUGAGGGUUGCAGGGCUAAGACCUGACAGAGCUAAUUAUAAUGGUACAUGAUAGAAAGCUCAGUACACAUUAUUCGCUUCGCUGCACUAAAGGUGAGGUAAGUCCAUGACAUCAUGGUUUUUUGAAAAAAUAAUGCAACUUAAGCUUGGAGGCUCUAACUCUUUUUUAACUCCCCGCAUUUUUACUUUUUGGUUCUCACAGACAAUGCAAGAACUAAUGCAUUGUUAAUGGAGUCCUCAGAUUUAAGGGAAGGGAGAUGGCAGGCCCAUGUAGUGUGUGUGUGUGUGUGUGUGUGUGUGUGUGUGUACGUGUGUAAUUGUCUUGCUUACUCCCCAUCUAACACCAAGUUUCAGUCCAUUUCCUAGCAAGUGGAAUGAGAAUGACUCAAGGGAGGAAGGGAAAGGGAUACAAAUGUGUCAAUUUGAUAACAGAGUAAAGCUUCCCCUCACCCUCAAUUAACCCCUCUCAGAUCCUUGCCCCUUUCUUUCCCUUGGUCUCCCUGGCAGAGGCUUAUCACACUGAGACUUAGUGCUUCUGGGUAUGAUUUCUUUGUUCAGAUAUAUCAGGUUAUUUAAGUGUUUGCCAUCAGACUCCUGCUAGAAGCUUCAUAUAUGGCUAGUCAGUCCUUCACUUCUUUGCAUCCUCUGCCCAUUUGUCAUCCCCAAAUGGGGGGUGAUCCUAGGAAUGGGUCAUCCCAGGUGUAUCCCAGAUUGAGAGGCCACAGAGAGGAGCCCUAGUGGCAAUUUUGCAAGAAGGGAGCAUCAAGGAGAGAAAUCUGGGUCGAGUUUCUGGGUCGUCCAGCCUUGCCACAGUUAACAUGGACCUGGAUGUAAAACUGGCAUAGAUUGGUCUUUGAUGAGUCAUCAUGAAGUCAAAAUCAAGUCAACCUCCAUGGAUGGGUUUGAGAUAGCAUCUGAACCUCAGCCCUGGACACAUGUUCUAAUUUCAGAGGGAUUUGUGAACUUAUAUACAGGAAUAAAAAAAGCCAUUAAGAGUAUCACAAUAAUCCAACAUAGGCUGGCUCCUAGGAUUAUCUCUCCCUCAGCAAAGAACUAAUUCAACAAAGGAGAAGAAAUGACUAAAGUCUUCUAAGCUCCAGAAACUGCCUUGGUCUUCUAAUAUGAGUGCUCUGGCUCCAACAUAAGAAGCACAGAGAACAAAAAAUUGAGGUUAUCCAAAUUCUCUCUUACUUAAUACUCUCAUAAUUCACAUUCCUCAAUUUCUGAAACAAAGUGGCUCAAAAAUAAUGGUGACAUUGGUAACAAAGCCACACAGAGAUGUGGAUUUCUUUUUCUGAGUUGGAAAUUGUGCAUAAUAUGAUGUUUAUAUUAAGUAAAUUUGAUUGUAACCCAGGUACAGUAGAAAUGGUAACUCUUUAGACACUAAAAUUUUAGAUAGGCUAUUUUGGAUUAGAUGGUCUCAUGCAUUGCAUUUCUACCUCCAGCAUCUCAAAUGCAUUUUUGCAAUAGGGAAGCUCACAGUGUAUCAAUUUCCAACAGUUGAUAUACUAAUUGGUAUAAAAUUGUAUAGUUGGCAGAAAAAGAAUUGGGCUAAGGUUUAAGAGAUUAAAUAUCUACUCUUGACUCAACCACCCAAAAUACAUCCCAUAGUUCCUUAGCCAAGGCAAAAUUUCUCUUUACAUGCUGAAGAAAGUACUUGUGAGACACAGAAGUAUUCUGAAAAGACUAUGGUGUUGCCUAAUAAACUGCCUUGAAAAUCUGGCCACCUAAUUUAUUAGCUUCAUGAUCUUGAGCAAAUUUUUUUGCCUUCAAGCCUCAACUGCCCUUCUUUAAAAUGGGUAAUAAGUUGUUCACUUCAAAGGAUUAGUAUGGAAAUGAAAAUACACCUAGUAAAUGGCAGUUAUUGCUACCAUUUUGGUCUUAGUGUGUUUGAAACUGUUUUGCAGAUCAAUUAUGUAAAAAAAACAUGGAUUGUGAAGAGCAAAAUCCCCUAUGAAUGUGAGACAUGACUAUUAUUUGUGGUGUCACCAGACCAGACUCUCAAAUAUGAGAGCCAUUUGUAUUUUCAAUUUCAAAAAUAUUUUCAUCAGAAAGUCCUUGCCCAUCCAGUCACUGGUGCUGUCUCAAAAAGCACAAAAGAGAGCUGUAAUGGCAUAAAGUAAUAUAUUGUAGGGGGUAGUUAUUAAAGACCAAAAGACAAUGCCAUUUGAAGGUGGGCCAGGACCUAGGAUCACAAAGAAACUCAUCUGGUUGUCUACUCCACAUACCUGUCUUCACCAUCAUCCAGAGGGUUAGAGACCAUAGUACAAAGAAGAAACCAUUUUUUCCUAUUUUGGAAUCAGGGCAUACUCUGUACCAUUCUCCCUCCUAGCCUAGAUUUCAGGAGGCCCUCAGUCUAUUGGUCUUAAGCACAGUCCUUCACCUCUUGACACCUCAUAUUUUACAUCUGGGAAAGUAAUUUCUAGUGGUUGGUUUCCAUCAAUACCUCUUCAGUUGAUUAGGAUCUAUAGUUUAAGAAAAGCAGACACUGGAGCAAUGGGAACAACCAUUCUAGUCAAGUUAGGGCAUGAGAUUUUGAUUUAAGUGAAAAAGAAGACUAUCAUCUGCCACAAAAUAGCCAAAGCAGAAGUUUUCAACAGUGCCUUUCACUUUAAAAAAAAUGUCAUAUCAUUAAUUUUUAAAUAGUCAUUUUAUUUCAAACUCUUCCUGGAAUACAGAAAAAUUAAUUAAUAAUCACAUGUAUUAUUUCAUAUAAUCCUCCCAACAUCCUUAUGAAGUGAAUAUUAUUGUCAUCCCCAUUUUGUUGGUGAAAAAAAUCAAGGCUAAGAAAAGUUAAAUGAAUUUUUCCAGGUCAGACAGCUAACAAAUGGCUCAAUUUUACAUUUUUUAAAUUCCUCAUCUUGGAGGGUUUUUGUUUUUUAUUUUUUGUUUUUUGUUUUUUUGUAUGUGCUUUAUAGCAGGACAUAGAAAAAAUAAAUACUUCUUUUGCCCACUGACCAAUACUAGAUAAAACAGGUUGUCACUCUCUGAUAAAAGCUUUGAAUUUGGGAUGCCUGGGUGGCUCAGUGGUUGAGUGUCUGCCUUCAUCUCAGGACAUGAUCCUGGAGUCUGAAGUUCUGGGCUUCAGUCCCACAUUGGGCUCCUUUAGGGGAGCCUGCUUCACCCUCUGCCUAUGUCUCUGCCUUUCUCUG